AUGUUAUGACCCCUGAUUGUGAAGCAGAAUUCACCAAGCAUUGGAUUGUUCACCCACUAAUAGGGAACAUGAGCUGGGAUUAGACCGUCGUGAGACAGGUU
rfam:Gallus gallus isolate RJF #256 breed Red Jungle fowl, inbred line TCD001 chromosome 2, whole genome shotgun sequence.